rnacentral:rRNA from 1 species
AGAGUUUGAUUAUGGCUCAGGAUGAACGCUGGCGGCGUGCAUAACACAUUCAAGUCGAACGAUGAAGGGACUUCAGUCCUGGAAUAGUGGCGGACGGGUGAGUAACGCGUGAGCAACCUGCCUUGCAUUGGGGGAUAACGUUUGGAAACGAACGCUAAUACCGCAAUAACGUAUAAAUAUCGCAUGUUAGAUAUACCAAAGAUUUAUUGAUGCAAGAUGGGCUCGCGUCCGAUUAGAUAGUUGGUGAGGUAACGGCCCACCAAGUCGACGAUCGGUAGCCGGACUGAGAGGUUGAACGGCCACAUUGGAACUGAGAAACGGUCCAGACUCCUACGGGAGGCAGCAGUGGGGAAUAUUGGGCAAUGGGCGAAAGCCUGACCCAGCCGACGCCGCGUGAGGGAAGAAGAUCUUCGGAUUGUAAACCUCUUUCAGCAAGGAAGAAGAAAGUGACGGUACUUGCAGAAGAAGCCACGGCUAACUACGUGCCAGCAGCAGC